GACAGAGGGUGCAACCGUUGUUCGGAAUUACUGGGCGUAAAGCGCGUGUAGGCUGCUCGGAAAGUCGGAUGUGAAAGCCCUGGGCUCAACCUAGGAAGUGCAUUCGAAACUUCCAAGCUGGAGUGCUGGAGAGGAAGGCGGAAUUCUCGGUGUAGAGGUGAAAUUCGUAGAUAUCGAGAGGAACACCGGUGGCGAAGGCGGCCUUCUGGACAGUAACUGACGCUGAGACGCGAAAGCGUGGGGAGCAAACAGG
rnacentral:rRNA from 1 species